rnacentral:rRNA from 1 species
CCUACGGGAGGCAGCAGUGGGGAAUAUUGCACAAUGGGCGCGAGCCUGAACCAGCCAAGUCGCGUGAGGGAUGACGGUCCUACGGAUUGUAAACCUCUUUUGCCGGGGAGCAAGCGUUCGUUCGUGAACGCACGGCGAGAGUACCCGGAGAAUAAGCAUCGGCUAACUCCGUGCCAGCAGCCGCGGUAAUACGGAGGAUGCGAGAGUUAUCCGGAUGUAGUGGGUUUAAAGGGUGCGUAGGCGGGAUGCGAAGUCAGAGGUAAAAAUGCGGUGCUAAACCUCGUCGAGCCGGUGAAACUGGCGUUCUUGAGUGGGGUAGAAGUAUGCGGAAUGCGUGGUGUAGGCGGGAAAUGCAUAGAUA